GAUGAGCGCUGGCGGCGUGCCUAACACAUGCAAGUCGAGCGAUCUUCUUCGGAAGAGAGCGGCGGACGGGUGAGUAACGCGUGGGUAACCUGCCUCAUACACAUGGAUAACAUACCGAAAGGUAUGCUAAUACAAGAUGAUAUAAGAGAUUCGCAUGGAUUUCUUAUCAAAGCUCCGGCGGUAUGAGAUGGACCCGCGUCUGAUUAGCUAGUUGGUAAGGUAACGGCUUACCAAGGCGACGAUCAGUAGCCGACCUGAGAGGGUGAUCGGCCACAUUGGGACUGAGGCACGGUACGAACUCAUACGGGAGGCAGAAGUGGGGAAUAUUGCACAAGGGGCGAAAGCCUGAUGGAGCAACGCCGCGUGAGCGAUGAAGGCCUUCGGGUCGUAAAGCGCUGUCCUCAAGGAAGAUAAUGACGGUACUUGAGGAGGAAGCCCCGGCUAACUACGUGUCAGCAGCCGCCGUAACAC
rnacentral:rRNA from 1 species